rnacentral:rRNA from 1 species
UACGGGGGGAGCAAGCGUUGUUCGGAUUUACUGGGCGUAAAGGGCGCGUAGGCGGCCACCGCAAGUCGGUUGUGAAAUCUCCGGGCUUAACCCGGAACGGUCAAUCGAUACUGCGGGGCUAGAGUGCAGAAGGGGCAACUGGAAUUCUCGGUGUAGCGGUGAAAUGCGCAGAUAUCAGGAGGAACACCGGUGGCGAAGGCGGGUCUCUGGGCCGAUACUGACGCUGAGGAGCGAAAGCGUGGGGAGCGAACAGG